GCCACUGAACAAGCAAACCAGACAGGAACUCAACCUCACCAGACUGUUUCCGGGUCCCUCUUCUUCUUGCAUCAAACCUGAGUCAUUUACACACCUAACCCAGUCCGGACCUCCUACAACGAGGGGGUGGAGUUUGGAGGUAGAAGAAACUUGAAUCUUGGCAUUGCUUCUUACUAGCUGUGUGUGUGGGAGGAAAUCACCAUGCUUCCCUGCAUGGUGCAUAGGUUCUCCCAAACAGAUGAUGAGAGUUGCCAAUCGUUACAUGUGAUGGGCGGACCGACAACACGCUGAGAGCAGAAUCCAAAAGUCUUCUGCUGGGUCCCAGGCGGUUAAUGACAGAACGUCGCCCACACUUCCAGAUCAUUGCUGCAGCUCCACACCCGCGCAAGGGCAGACAGGACUCUGUGAGACCCUUUGCGACUCAAGCACCAGGGCCCCACCUGCGGCGCUGAGCGCGGCCAGUAGCAACAGCAGAGCGGUUCCCGUGGUCCCCGAGGGUCGCAUCUCUGCCCAGGAGAGGCUGCCUUCGGGCUCUCCGGGAUUAAUCCGAGACAGACGGAGUCCCACGGGCUGCGCGGCGACUGCGUCGGCAGCGACGCGACCUGGAACUCAGGCGCCCGUCCAGGUGAACUGUCGUUGGUCUGGGAGGCGGUGGCCUCCGGGACUCACUCCAGGCGCCCUGGCCCGGUCGGGGCUAGCGCACUGUGAAGGAAGCGGAGGAAGGCUGCUGCGCGCUGCGAUGGGGCUGCCCAGACGUCUAGCUCGCGCGGUUCGGGACGAGGGGAGGCUGGGCUGGAGGAGGAGGGACUAGUGAUAGGAGGAGGGAUCGGGAGGAGCGAGGAGGAGGAGAAUGGCAGGAGAGAGGAAGCACUCGCCUCGAGGAUCGAAAGCAGGCAGUGACCGGAAGGUGGUGGUGGAUAGCCUUGGCCGCCACCCGACCAGGCUCUGGGACGAAUCCAGGCUGCGGGUAGCAGGGCAGCCGGGGGCCUUUGGGGUUAAUUUUUGUAUGGGGACUCCUUCCCGCUGAGGUUCAGAAUCUAGGCAGUUCAGCCAAAACUGUGUGAGAGUCCCUUCCCUCCCUCUGUCUGUCCCACCUUUUUCCUUCCUUUCUUUCUUCCAAUUUACUGAGCAACACCGAACCACUUCGGGUACAAACUGACUGAACCCUGGAGCCCAGGUUGGAAACUGACACAGACGGAGACACUACCCCCUCAUUUCUCCAUAAGUCCUCCCGGAGAGCGGGAUCUUAGCCGGGUCAGGCUGGCUUGGCAGCAGAGUUCCCAACAGCGCAGGCAGAGACCGGGCUUCCAGAUGCCUGAAGUGGCACUCAGAAGUGUCCUUCAGAUCCUGUCAAGAACCCUCCACACCCUCUGAAAGGAGGGCGGCCAAUUCCCAACACAGAGGAGGAGGGCAAAUGUUUGCUGAGUGAAAGCACGCAUGUUGAGGAACAAAAACAUGGCGUUUUCGACACCAGGAAUCAGUCAGGAGUCCUUGGAAAGCAAAACAGUGAAUACAGGAGGAGAAUUCCUUCGCAAAAGCGGAGACUUGACGCCAACAACAGUUGACGUAUCUUUAGAGCAGUUAGCAGGGACUCGAGCUAGCCAUGCCGGAUACCAGCAGGCAAAUUGCCAGGUAUAUGUUCUCCUAGAAUUUGGCCAGUUGAAAUGAUGUUUCCCUGAACUGCAGGACUGUCAACUAAAUUCUUUCAGCAAAGACCCACUAAUAUCACUGCUUCCUCACUAUCGGAGAAAUGUCCCCUUCUCCCAUUUAGCAGCCAGAAUCCCUCUGUUCUUUGCAAAAAAUGUCCCCUAGUUUAGGCUCUUUUAGGCCUCCUAUUAAAAGCAGUCGCUGCUAACCAGUGGAGUUCAGAGCACCUGUGUGUGUGUGUGUGUGUGUGUGUGUGUGUGUGUGUGCAGCUAGAAGGGACGCGCUCCCAACCUUCUUUCCCACCCAGCAAAGAAAGGGCUGCUGCCCAAGUUUCGCAGCUGGCAUCCUGAAUGGGUGCAUUUCACCCAGCCUGUGCAAGGCCCCUCUUCAGACCCUGAAAUCCUCAUUGUGAAGUAGAGCAGGGCAUCUUAAACUUUUCCCACCGGCAACCGUUUUUUUCAUAGUUUUUAAUGUGCCCUUGGGUAGGGAUUUAUAGAAAAUAGGCGUGCAAACUAAACGUCUACUAAUAGUAAACCAUUAUGGAACGUUAAGAUAAUUCUUUGACAUACAUAUAACUUUAACACUUGUUAAAAGUUAAAGCAAAUUUGCAUGCAAAUGAGAUGGAGUUGUUUAUUAUUACACAAAAACUAGAUCUUGAAUGAAUACUCGAUGCUGCAGGACAUUGAGCAUCUGCAACAAUGCUCAGAGUUAAUUUAAUAUUUUGGUUAACGUCCUCAAUGCAUAAAAUGGAAAAAAAAGUAUAUUUAGGGCCAUUUUGGAAAUUCCAUCCAAAUCCCAAGCUAAAAUUCAGUUAAUAUCUUUUAAAUGAAGCUCAAGACAUUGAUUUUAAAAAUCAAACAUUUAAAUACAGUACAACCCAAAUACAUCUAUGUGAAGCUCUUAUGCUAAGGGAUGAUGGUAGGAGAAUAUUGAAAGUUUUUGUUUUCUGUGUUAUAAUAUUAUUCGUCUACAAGAGCAGAUGGUUGUAAAGUAAAACUGCUGCCAUCCAUACUCCCCAAUAGCUUUGCAUCUGAACUGAGUUUUGAGGCAGCGCUUCUUGGUGCCCCAUGCUGUAACAGUGUGCACAGAGCAAGGAGAGCAUGGAGCGUGUAUAGAAGCAAGAUCACAGUGAAGUGCCCUGGUGCACCCUGGGUGAACACUACCAGAAACACCUUGCAGUCACUGUGUGUUUUGAGCUUUUGAAUUAAAUUUUGGUCAUCGCAAUUCAGAAGCCUUUUACUCUUGCCAAACAUUUUAUCCCUUCCUCCCAGGGACACACACACUGUGAGGGAGACACUCAUGUGUUUGUUUUCUGCUACAUGUUCCAAUAACUUGGGUCAGUUUGUAAAGCAAUGCAAUUAUGUAGAGGAAAUGAGAGGAAAGCAAACAAAAAACAGUGGAGCACAGGAUAAAGGCAGAAAUGAAUUUUAAAAAAUUUGCAGACAGAUUUUUUUGUAAAAAAUCUAUUUCUGCGCUUAUAGAGGGCCACAAACCUGGCUUGAGAUCAUAUUUUCUAUCAAGGAAUAUAAUUAGUUGCACAAGUCAUAAUGUGCAGGUAAACAGUAGCUGAAACAGAUUUUUAAGAAAUUGUAAAAAUUUCUCCCAUGCAUCCCUAAAGGAGGAUUGUCUCCAAAGACUUCAGGAUUCUCUCUGUGUUAGCUCCAUGGAGCAGCAACCUUCAUAAAGCUGCUGGUUAGAACGUCCAUGGUGUGACCUGAUUACCAUUCUGCCCCUAGGAACAAAAGCUUCCUUGAGACCAUCAAGAAGGGAGCAGUGGCCCGUUAAAGUUACAGAGCACAAAACUAGGACAGCUUCUAAUAUAGAGUUUCCCUUUAGGACACUUACAUACAGUGUGGACUCUUCCUGAGCGCCCCCUUAGGACAUGACACAUACACGUACCCUGGAAACAUCUGAGCUGUAAUUAUGAAGAGUAACAUUAUGAUGAAUUUUAUUGGUUGGCAAGUCCUGGAAUUAUUGAUGCUUAUGUUAAAUAAAGGUGGCCUGGGCAGACUGGCAGAAAUGACAUCUGGAAAGAACAGAGGAGCCUUGCAAAGCCAGAGUUUGACCCAUAGUCUCUCAGAGUAAUCCAAGCCAUCACCCAGGUGACACACCCAAUCCAAAAAUGGCAACAGCAGUUCAGACUCUGCUGAACUCGAGUGAGAUG